rnacentral:rRNA from 1 species
ACGCUCGACACCUACGGGAGGGCAGCAGUGGGGAAUAUUGCACAAUGGGGGAAACCCUGAUGCAGCAACGCCGCGUGAAGGAAGACGGUUUUCGGAUUGUAAACUUCUGUUCUUAGUGAAGAUAGUGACGGUAGCUAAGGAGCAAGCCACGGCUAACUACGUGCCAGCAGCCGUGGUAAUCUGAGCGGGCUGGCAAGGC